GUUAUAUGGUCAAGUGAAGAAGCGCAUACGGUGGAUGCCUUGGCAGUCAGAGGCGAUGAAAGACGUGGUAGCCUGCGAAAAGCUUCGGGGAGUCGGCAAACAGACUUUGAUCCGGAGAUCUCUGAAUGGGGGAACCCACCUAGGAUAACCUAGGUAUCUUGUACUGAAUCCAUAGGUGCAAGAGGCGAACCAGGGGAACUGAAACAUCUAAGUACCCUGAGGAAAAGAAAUCAACCGAGAUUCCCUUAGUAGUGGCGAGCGAACGGGGAUUAGCCCUUAAGCUUCAUUGAUUUUAGCGGAACGCUCUGGAAAGUGCGGCCAUAGUGGGUGAUAGCCCCGUACGCGAAAGGAUCUUUGAAGUGAAAUCGAGUAGGACGGAGCACGAGAAACUUUGUCUGAACAUGGGGGGACCAUCCUCCAAGGCUAAAUACUACUGACUGACCGAUAGUGAACCAGUACCGUGAGGGAAAGGCGAAAAGAACCCCGGAGAGGGGAGUGAAAUAGAACCUGAAACCGUAUGCGUACAAGCAGUGGGAGCCUACUUGUUAGGUGACUGCGUACCUUUUGUAUAAUGGGUCAGCGACUUAUAUUCAGUGGCAAGCUUAACCGUAUAGGGUAGGCGUAGCGAAAGCGAGUCUUAAUAGGGCGUUUAGUCGCUGGGUAUAGACCCGAAACCGGGCGAUCUAUCCAUGAGCAGGUUGAAGGUUAGGUAACACUGACUGGAGGACCGAACCCACUCCCGUUGAAAAGGUAGGGGAUGACUUGUGGAUCGGAGUGAAAGGCUAAUCAAGCUCGGAGAUAGCUGGUUCUCCUCGAAAGCUAUUUAGGUAGCGCCUCAUGUAUCACUCUGGGGGGUAGAGCACUGUUUCGGCUAGGGGGUCAUCCCGACUUACCAAACCGAUGCAAACUCCGAAUACCCAGAAGUGCCGAGCAUGGGAGACACACGGCGGGUGCUAACGUCCGUCGUGAAAAGGGAAACAACCCAGACCGCCAGCUAAGGUCCCAAAGUUGUGGUUAAGUGGUAAACGAUGUGGGAAGGCUUAGACAGCUAGGAGGUUGGCUUAGAAGCAGCCAUCCUUUAAAGAAAGCGUAAUAGCUCACUAGUCGAGUCGGCCUGCGCGGAAGAUGUAACGGGGCUCAAACCACACACCGAAGCUGCGGGUGUCACGUAAGUGACGCGGUAGAGGAGCGUUCUGUAAGCCUGUGAAGGUGAGUUGAGAAGCUUGCUGGAGGUAUCAGAAGUGCGAAUGCUGACAUGAGUAACGACAAUGGGUGUGAAAAACACCCACGCCGAAAGACCAAGGGUUCCUGCGCAACGUUAAUCGACGCAGGGUUAGUCGGUUCCUAAGGCGAGGCUGAAAAGCGUAGUCGAUGGGAAACAGGUUAAUAUUCCUGUACUUCUGGUUACUGCGAUGGAGGGACGGAGAAGGCUAGGCCAGCUUGGCGUUGGUUGUCCAAGUUUAAGGUGGUAGGCUGAAAUCUUAGGUAAAUCCGGGGUUUCAAGGCCGAGAGCUGAUGACGAGUCGUCUUUUAGAUGACGAAGUGGUUGAUGCCAUGCUUCCAAGAAAAGCUUCUAAGCUUCAGGUAACCAGGAACCGUACCCCAAACCGACACAGGUGGUCGGGUAGAGAAUACCAAGGCGCUUGAGAGAACUCGGGUGAAGGAACUAGGCAAAAUGGCACCGUAACUUCGGGAGAAGGUGCGCCGGCUAGGGUGAAGGAUUUACUCCGUAAGCUCUGGCUGGUCGAAGAUACCAGGCCGCUGCGACUGUUUAUUAAAAACACAGCACUCUGCAAACACGAAAGUGGACGUAUAGGGUGUGACGCCUGCCCGGUGCCGGAAGGUUAAUUGAUGGGGUUAGCGCAAGCGAAGCUCUUGAUCGAAGCCCCGGUAAACGGCGGCCGUAACUAUAACGGUCCUAAGGUAGCGAAAUUCCUUGUCGGGUAAGUUCCGACCUGCACGAAUGGCGUAACGAUGGCGGCGCUGUCUCCACCCGAGACUCAGUGAAAUUGAAAUCGCUGUGAAGAUGCAGUGUAUCCGCGGCUAGACGGCAAGACCCCGUGAACCUUUACUGUAGCUUUGCACUGGACUUUGAGCCUGCUUGUGUAGGAUAGGUGGGAGGCUUUGAAGCGUGGACGCCAGUUCGCGUGGAGCCAUCCUUGAAAUACCACCCUGGCAUGCUUGAGGUUCUAACUCUGGUCCGUGAUCCGGAUCGAGGACAGUGUAUGGUGGGCAGUUUGACUGGGGCGGUCUCCUCCUAAAGAGUAACGGAGGAGUACGAAGGUGCGCUCAGACCGGUCGGAAAUCGGUCGUAGAGUAUAAAGGCAAAAGCGCGCUUGACUGCGAGACAGACACGUCGAGCAGGUACGAAAGUAGGUCUUAGUGAUCCGGUGGUUCUGUAUGGAAGGGCCAUCGCUCAACGGAUAAAAGGUACUCCGGGGAUAACAGGCUGAUACCGCCCAAGAGUUCAUAUCGACGGCGGUGUUUGGCACCUCGAUGUCGGCUCAUCACAUCCUGGGGCUGAAGCCGGUCCCAAGGGUAUGGCUGUUCGCCAUUUAAAGUGGUACGCGAGCUGGGUUUAGAACGUCGUGAGACAGUUCGGUCCCUAUCUGCCGUGGACGUUUGAGAUUUGAGAGGGGCUGCUCCUAGUACGAGAGGACCGGAGUGGACGAACCUCUGGUGUUCCGGUUGUCACGCCAGUGGCAUUGCCGGGUAGCUAUGUUCGGAAAAGAUAACCGCUGAAAGCAUCUAAGCGGGAAACUUGCCUCAAGAUGAGAUCUCACUGGGAACUUGAUUCCCCUGAAGGGC
rnacentral:rRNA from 1 species